rnacentral:rRNA from 1 species
AUUGAACGCUGGCGGCAGGCCUAACACAUGCAAGUCGAACGGUAACAGGAAGAAGCUUGCUUCUUUGCUGACGAGUGGCGGGCGGGUGAGUAAUGUCUGUGAAACUGCCUGAUGUAGUGGGAUAACUACUGGAAACGGUAGCUCAUACCGCAUAACGUCGCAAGACCAAAAAGGGGGACCUUCGGGCCUCUUGCCCUCGGAUGUGCCCAGAUGGCAUUAGCGAGUAGGUGGGGUAACGGCUCACCUAGGCGACGAUCCCUAGCUGGUCUGAGAGGAGGACCCGCCACACCUGAAAUGAGACACGGUCCAGACUCCUACGGGAGGCAGCAGUGGGGAAUAUUGCACAAUGGGCGGAAGCCUUGUGCAGCCAUGCCGCGUGGAUGAAGAAGGCCUUCGGGUUGUAAAGUACUUUCAGCUGGGAGGAAGGGAGUAAAGUUAAUACCUUUGCUCAUUGACGGUACCCGAAGAAGAAGCCCCGGCUAACUCCGUG